UACGUAGGGGGCAAGCGUUGUCCGGAAUUAUUGGGCGUAAAGAGCGCGUAGGCGGUCCGGUAAGUCGGCUGUGAAAGUCAAGGGCUCAACCCUUGAAAGCCGGCCGAUACUGUCGGACUAGAGUCCGGAAGAGGCGAGUGGAAUUCCCGGUGUAGCGGUGAAAUGCGCAGAUAUCGGGAGGAACACCAAUGGCGAAGGCAGCUCGCUGGGACGGUACUGACGCUGAGACGCGAAAGCGUGGGGAGCGAACAGG
rnacentral:rRNA from 1 species